rnacentral:misc_RNA from 2 species
AAGUCGUAACAAGGUUUCCGUAGGUGAACCUGCGGAAGGAUCAUUACCGAGUGAGGGCCCUCUGGGUCCAACCUCCCACCCGUGUUUAUCGUACCUUGUUGCUUCGGCGGGCCCGCCUCACGGCCGCCGGGGGGCUUCUGCCCUCUGGCCCGCGCCCGCCGAAGACACCAUUGAACGCUGUCUGAAGAUUGCAGUCUGAGCAAUUAGCUAAAUAAGUUAAAACUUUCAACAACGGAUCUCUUGGUUCCG